rnacentral:rRNA from 1 species
GGGAAACUGCCCGAUAGAGGGGGAUAACUACUGGAAACGGUAGCUAAUACCGCAUAACCUCGCAAGAGCAAAGUGGGGGACCUUCGGGCCUCACGCUAUCGGAUGUGCCCAGAUGGGAUUAGCUAGUAGGUGAGGUAAUGGCUCACCUAGGCGACGAUCCCUAGCUGGUCUGAGAGGAUGACCAGCCACACUGGAACUGAGACACGGUCCAGACUCCUACGGGAGGCAGCAGUGGGGAAUAUUGCACAAUGGGCGCAAGCCUGAUGCAACCAUGCCGCGUGUAUGAAGAAGGCCUUCGGGUUGUAAAGUACUU